AAAUCGAGGGAAAGAAAUACACAAGCCACGUCUUCUGCAUCAAAGAAACCAAAGAAAAAAUCAUCUGUAUUCGUACAAAUUAUUUUUGUUCUUCUAUUUGCUGUUGCUUUACAUUUUGC
rnacentral:ribozyme from 1 species